CAUUUUUUUUUCGGUUCGCCGGGAUGCCCAUUUUUGCCUGGACUAUUUUAUUCUUUUUGUCCAGCGGGUCUCUUAUACGAAGUAUUUUUUAACUGCGUCCGCAUUCACAGGGGAUGGAAAAUCCUCACCAUUCGCCGGGAUGCCCAUUUUUGCCUGGACUAUUUUAUUCUUUUUGUCCAGCGGGUCUCUUAUACGAAGUAUUUUUUAACUGCGUCCGCAUUCACAGGGGAUGGAAAAUCCUCACCAUCCAUGGUCGUUAACAACAAGG
rnacentral:lncRNA from 1 species